rnacentral:rRNA from 1 species
GAUGAACGCUGGCGGCGUGCCUAAUACAUGCAAGUCGAACGGAAGGACGAUGAGCUUGCUUCUCUGACGAUAGCGGAGGGCGGGAGAGUAACACGUGGAUCCCCUCCUUGUAAGUCUGGGAUAACUUCGGAAAACCGGAGCUAAUCCGGGAUAAUCUCUUGCACCGCAGGGUGCAAUAGAGAAAGACGGUCUUGGUGUCACGAAUAGCUGGUUUCGCGCUUUAUUAUCGGGUUGGGAAGGUAACGGCUUAUCAAGGCAACGAUGCAUGGGCGAACGGAGAGGGUGAUCGGCCACACUGGAACUGAGACACGGCCAAGACUCCUACGGGAGGCAGCAGUAGGGAAUCUUCCGCAAUGGGCGAAAGCCUGACGGAGCAACGCCGCGUGAGUGAUGAAGGUCUUCGGAUCGUAAAACUCUGUUAUUAGGUAAGAACAUAUGUGUAAGUAACUGUGCACAUCUUGACGGUACCUAAUCAGAAAGCCACGGCUAACUACGUG